UACAGAGGGUGCGAGCGUUAAUCGGAAUUACUGGGCGUAAAGCGUGCGUAGACGGCUAUCUAAGUCGGGUGUGAAAGCCCUGGGCUCAACCUGGGAAUUGCAGUGGAUACUGGCAAGCUAGAGUGCGGUAGAGGAUGGUGGAAUUCCCGGUGUAGCGGUGAAAUGCGUAGAGAUCGGGAGGAACACCCGUGGCGAAGGCGGCCAUCUGGACCAGCACUGACGCUGAGGCACGAAAGCGUGGGGAGCAAACAGG
rnacentral:rRNA from 1 species